AGAGUUUGAUCCUGGCUCAGAUUGAACGCUGGCGGCAUGCCUUACACAUGCAAGUCGAACGGUAACAGGUCUUCGGAUGCUGACGAGUGGCGAACGGGUGAGUAAUACAUCGGAACGUGCCCGAUCGUGGGGGAUAACGCAGCGAAAGCUGUGCUAAUACCGCAUACGAUCUACGGAUGAAAGCGGGGGAUCGCAAGACCUCGCGCGGACGGAGCGGCCGAUGGCAGAUUAGGUAGUUGGUGGGAUAAAAGCUUACCAAGCCGACGAUCUGUAGCUGGUCUGAGAGGACGACCAGCCACACUGGGACUGAGACACGGCCCAGACUCCUACGGGAGGCAGCAGUGGGGAAUAUUGGACAAUGGGCGAAAGCCUGAUCCAGCCAUGCCGCGUGAGUGAAGAAGGCCUUCGGGUUGUAAAGCUCUUUCAGUCGGAAAGAAACGAUUGCAACUAAUAAUUGUAAUUAAUGACGGUACCGACAGAAGAAGCACCGGCUAACUACGUGCCAGCAGCCGCGGUAAUAU
rnacentral:rRNA from 1 species